rnacentral:lncRNA from 1 species
AGCAACUCAAUCAUCUCUCACCUCUCCUUUUUCACAUAUUAAUCGGGAAAUUGUCUAUGUCGCUUUUUUUUUGUCCAUCAGCGACCUUGUUUCGUCGGAGUCACUCUCUUUCCAACCAGCCAACCCUCAUUGUAUCUUCUACUUAGUUAUGGUAAUUGUCAAUUAUCAAAGGAAAGGGAGUAAUCUGAAUUUUGCUCAAAUUAGUAAUCGAAGAAGUUCCUGGGAAAAAAUCGGAUGAGGUAAAAAUCAAAUUUAUUUUUCUUCAAUGGUGUUGAAGCUAGCUUCUUUGUAUCUCCAUCAAUGUUCUGCUCCAGAAAAACAGAAUGCUAGUUCUGUGAGAAGGUUGAUGAUAAAUUUGAGAUCAGUUUGCAACAAGGAUGAAUAUGAAUUGUCGAAAAUGGUGAAUCAUUCCAAGCUCGGUAAGAUCCCAUUGAUAAGGAGGAGCCGCGUUGCUUCUUCUUCCUAUUUUUAUCUCGUUUGCUCUUCUUGGAGGUUGCAAACCAUAGAUUAGCAAUGGAGAGAAAAAACUUUCUAAAUUUAAAUGGAGGAUAUUGUUUUUAGAUUAGGGUCAAGUAUGUAAUCAUCCAAUACUACAUUUCAAGCAAAAAAAAUUUAUAUUCA